AGUCAUUCGGAUGCCGGCACCGCGUUCUUUUUAGCCCGCAACGGGGAUCUCCGGUAAGGGUUGGCGCGUGUACAUUUUUCGCGGUGUAGUGUGGGAAGCGAGUUCCGUUAAAAAGAAUCCGCCGUAUUAUAAAUUCUGGCUUCUUCGUUAACUGUUUUGUGUCGGUUUCGAUAAUAAAACGCACGGAAUAACAUUGCGGCGGUAUCA